rnacentral:tRNA from 1 species
CGGGCUCGUAGUAUAGUCCGGAUAGUACAUGGGCCUCCGGAGCCUAUGACCUGGGUUCAAAUCCCAGCGAGCCCGU